AUUGAACGCUGGCGGCAUGCCUUACACAUGCAAGUCGAACGGCAGCGGACCUUCGGGUGCCGGCGAGUGGCGAACGGGUGAGUAAUAUAUCGGAACGUACCUUUCAGUGGGGGAUAACGUAGCGAAAGUUACGCUAAUACCGCAUAUUCUGUGAGCAGGAAAGCAGGGGAUCGCAAGACCUUGCGCUGAUUGAGCGGCCGAUAUCCGAUUAGCUAGUUGGUGAGGUAAAGGCUCACCAAGGCGACGAUCUGUAGCGGGUCUGAGAGGAUGAUCCGCCACACUGGAACUGAGACACGGCCCAGACUCCUACGGGAGGCAGCAGUGGGGAAUUUUGGACAAUGGGCGCAAGCCUGAUCCAGCCAUGCCGCGUGAGUGAAGAAGGCCU
rnacentral:rRNA from 1 species